GGAGCUUCAGCUUCAGCAUCAGUCCUUCCAAUGAAUAUUUAGGAUUGAUUUCCUUUAGGACUGAUUGGUUUGAUCUCCUUGCAGUCCAAGGGACUCUCAAGAGUCUUCUCCAACACCACGAUUCGAAAGCAUGAAUUCUAUGGCACUCAGCCUUCUUUAUGAUCCACCUCUCACAUUCAUACAUGACUACAGGAAAAACCAUAGCUUUGACUAUAUGGACCUUUGUUGGCAAAGUAAUGUCUCUGCUUUUUAAUAUGCUAUCUAGGUUGGU